rnacentral:rRNA from 1 species
CGCAAGAGAGCCGGAACACAGGUGCUGCAUGGCUGUCGUCAGCUCGUGUCGUGAGAUGUUGGGUUAAGUCCCGCAACGAGCGCAACCCUUGUCAUUAGUUGCCAUCAUUUGGUUGGGCACUCUAAUGAGACUGCCGGUGACAAACCGGAGGAAGGUGGGGAUGACGUCAAGUCCUCAUGGCCCUUAUGGGUAGGGCUUCACACGUCAUACAAUGGUCGGUACAGAGGGUUGCCAACCCGCGAGGGGGAGCUAAUCCCACAAAGCCGAUCGUAGUCCGGAUCGCAGUCUGCAACUCGACUGCGUGAAGUCGGAAUCGCUAGUAAUCGUGGAUCAGCAUGUCACGGUGAAUACGUUCCCGGGUCUU